rnacentral:misc_RNA from 1 species
GGAGAAGUCCUCUCCAGCAAAAUGGCCAAGACGAUUAUCGUCCAGGUCGAAAGGCGGUUCCCGCAUCCGCAGUUCAAGAAAGUCGUGACGCAGUAUCACAAAUUCUAUGCGCACGACGAGAAAGGGGAGGCUAAAUCAGGUGACCGAGUUCGCAUCCAGGAAACCCGGCCUUUGUCAAAAACCAAGCGUUGGCGGCUGGUCGAGAUAGUGGAGCGCAACACCGCCGCCGUUCGCGUGGCUGGAUAGAACUUUGAAUUUAUGCUACAGAUCCGUUCCAUUUUAGAAGUCGCGGACAACUCCGGGGCCAAGCGCGCGGCGGCCAUUGGCGUGUUGGGUCGCAAUCAGCAAUACGCACGGGUCGGCGACGUGAUUAAAGC